rnacentral:tRNA from 8 species
GUGGCUGUAGCUCAGUCGGUAGAGCCCCGGAUUGUGAUUCCGGUUGUCGUGGGUUCAAGUCCCAUCAGCCACCCCA